ensembl:lncRNA
CUGGGCUCCUGUAAGAGCCAGCCACUGAGAAGUGAGCAUCUUUUAGCGUUGGGCUGCUGUACAGCUAAGGAGUUUUUUUAUCAGCUAGCUUUCUUUCCCCUGACAUCAUCUUAGAAUCAAUGAAUCUUCUCUGAAUGGAACCAUCCCAGCUGACAGCCUUGCCUGUGCUAUCUCUUCAGUGCUCUUGAAAUGCUUCUAACUCACUUCCCACAACCAUAUGGCUGUCAGGAGGAUUUAAGCUCUGUGCUCAGUUGUGCUUUCACUUCCAUGGGCAGAGGAGAAGCUUGCCCUCUGAUAUUCAGGCAAAACAACCACAUCUUCCUAAUAUAAGAGAAGGUGCAGGCUGAUUUCUCAGAAAUGACCUAACUAGAAGACUAACUACAGCAUGUGGAAAAUGAAACAGGAAAAGGCUUCAGAAGAAAACUGAAAUGGAUGUGUGGUAACAGCAGUGAGGCUACUGUCUUCAAUCAAUGGUGGAAACUACUGAUCAGUAAUUACUGUAACUGAUGGCUCCAAUGUAUGAAGUCAAAUGCAUUGUAGUUCCCUGAGUCUGCUGCAUCUGGUUCCUUACAGUUCCAUGUCACUUUUUGGAAGGCAUUAUCACAGCACUGCUCUGAGCACUGAUAGCUAAGCUUUAGGCACUGUAGAGAGGGCUUCAGGCAGGGAUAAGUCGCUUUAUAUCUUUAACUCUUCAGGCAUAUGUUUGUUAGGUAACCCUCACACUAGAAUGGCAUUAAGGAAUAUUCUUCCUUCUGUCCAGGGGUGUCUACCUCUGAGCUAUGUAAUUAGUCGACUACACUGGCACAGAAUGCUACACCCUAACAAGGCUAAUAUUGAUUAGGGAAAGGCAACACUAAUCUAGAUUUUAUAUUAUAGGUUUUCCUUAAUGUCGGAAGUCAGUGAGUUCUAAGAAGUUCUGGGUGUAGCAUUUUGCAGCUAUCAUCGUUGUUGCUAUGUAGCUGUGCUGUGAAAGAAGCCACACAACUUUGGGUUUAGGUUCAGGCAAAACCUGGGUAGGUGCUGGCAGACUGUAUAACACAAUGUGUUCUGUGUUGUCUGCAUCAUUUAUAUGGGCUGGGAGGAGUGAGAAUAGCAUGUGUGUGGAGAGUGCCAUAUGUUACCUAUCAGCUGUGUUAUUUGCUCACUGCAUAUUUACUGAUAACACAAGUUAUUUACUGGUCAAACAGUAGCCUUGAGUGUGAGAUGAUACUAGAUGUCACACCAGAAGCUAGCAGCAAGAAGAGCAGUCACAACUUUUAUCAGUGAGCUGACUUCCUGCAGUUUUAAAUUUACUGUCCAAGACAAUGAAGAGCAAGCAUGACAUACAGCCACACACAACUGUCAAGGCAAGAAAGCAACUAUCCAGAAGGCGCUUGAUGUAGGAGUGCUGUACUAUUCGACAGCACUUAAUUGCUUUCCACAGUCCUUUUACGGAGUUGAAGAUGGAAGUAAUGUUUGAGCUUAUCUAGUAAUUUCUUUCUUGUGUUGAAAAUUACUUUCUCUGCUGGGAUUCCUCUAUGUGUAUAUAGGUGUAUGUUUGUGUGCACUUAUUUUUUGAUAGUGAUGUGACUCCUGUUGCUACUGUGCUGGGGACCUACUUCAAGUGAUUUCAUGUUAACUUUGUUCAAAGUCUAGUGUAUGCUGGACAGAGCUGCUUGUUGGUACUUGUACUAUACAGCACGUUCUGCCACUUGCAGAGAAAAUGGUAUGUAAGAUGUGGACUAGAAAGGCCAAAGUAGAGAUGGCCCACUGAUUUGUACCAUGUUCAUUAAAAAGGCAAAUUUCAUCAAGGAAGAUGGAACAGAACACUUAAGCGUCCGCCUUAGAGGAAAUACAGCAACUCAGCUUCCCUAGGCCAUUUUUCCUCAUCAUCUCCCAUCAAGAAGCUCUCUGCUAAUUAUAAUUUGAAUUCAAUCUUUGCUAAUUAACAUGGGUUCCAGCAUUGCAAGAUAAUAAUAAAAACUUUUCCUUUAUGGUUCCUAGUUCUUUGCAGUUUGCUUUUUGAACCAUACCAAGUCUACAAUGCCAAUGUCAACUGUAAUAUCAGUUGGGAACUGAAUCACAAUUAGGAUUCAGACACAUAGGACAAAAUAAAAUGUGUUACUGGAACUUUAAGAAUAACCAAACAACACUGAAUAGACUGAAAAAAAUUCUCUCUGAACACCCACAGCGUUUUAUGUUGUCUCCAUUAGGAAAUUUGACUUCAGAUGUGUCUAAGCAUAAUAUUUUACACCAAGGAACAGCAUGAUAGAUGAUUUUCAGAUUCGGAAUAGCAGUGCUACUCUUCAGCUGCUGUUGGAGUUCCUUACUAGCUUUUCUCUUGAGACUUAAUUAAAAAGAAUUAUACUGUCCAUCUUCAUAGGAAAAUAAAAGUAUGC